UGUUUGUCUCCAAAAUAUAUGUACUCAUCUUUGAGUGUAAGAACUUGGUAGAAUUGUGCUCCGAUUCCAAUUGCAGUCGGACUCAAAAGCGCGAAUUGAUAAGCCUUCGACAAUUUAUAGACGCCGUACGGUUUGCAGGUGAACAGCAACCUUUCGUCGUAGAAAUCGAGAGCCUCGAAACUUUUCGGAGAGAAUUCGUCAUGCUCACUGCUAUUGCUCAUUUCAAGUACGGAACUUGCUAAAGUCUACGUAGUAAGAUAUUCAAAGCGAGUUUUGUUUAUUUGUAAACAAACACGUAAACUGUCCACCAGGAAGGAAGAGAGAAGGAGCCUUAACUCUAAUCUGCCUCCAGGCAGAAUAUGGGCCUGGUUAUGGCCCUCCUUUACACUCGGAAUGCUAGUACCCCCUUUGUCCACUAGCUGCGCACGUGUUUUCUGGUCGCCCAAAAAUGGCUCUAAAAACUCUUUAAAAAUGUCAACUAGAUGUCAAAACAAAUCACACCUGACUUAUUCGUACGUUUUCAAUAUUUAGGUAACCAUUUUCAUAACUUGCGACUGAUUAUUUUUUUAAUCGGCCACACUGCACUAUCGGUGGCCCAGUGAAAACACACAGUGAUUUUUUAGACGCAGAACACAAGCACCAAAAAACCAGGAAUAAAAUGGUGUGCAUUGGAACUGAUUGUCGCCGUUAGCUGUCAGACGAACCAGACGACACCAUGAUACGUCGGCCAUAAUACUUGGGCCGGAAUUUCGGCGACCAAAAAACACGUGCGCCGCGAGUGGCUGAAAUCUAGAGGGCCAUAACCGGGGUUACUUGUGUUUACCGCUAUCACCACUGAUAUAUUUAUUACGGAGUUACGUCUCCUCUCAUUGUCAGAGCCUAUGUCACGAAGCACAGUGUGAAAUAUUAAAAUAUAAUAAUAAAUUAAAAUA